rnacentral:rRNA from 1 species
UACGGAGGGGGCUAGCGUUGUUCGGAAUUACUGGGCGUAAAGCGCACGUAGGCGGAUAUUUAAGUCAGGGGUGAAAUCCCGGGGCUCAACCCCGGAACUGCCUUUGAUACUGGGUAUCUGGAGGUCGAGAGAGGCGAGUGGAAUUCCGAGUGUAGAGGUGAAAUUCGUAGAUAUUCGGAGGAACACCAGUGGCGAAGGCGGCUCGCUGGCUCGAUACUGACGCUGAGGUGCGAAAGCGUGGGGAACAAACAGG